CACAUAUAUAAUAGUAACUUAUUCCAUUUUCAAGACGUGGUCCAUGCUCUCAUGGAAACACACGUUCAAAACAUCUAGUCCCUAUUGCUAGUUGAACAUAAGAACUCUACAGAGAGUAGAAGACUUUCUUUUGAGCUUUCAUCAAUGGCAGAUGGGUCUCGAUCUCGAUAUGAAGUUGGAAAAAGAAGCAACGAGACUUUCAACAUUAAUAAUAAUGAUAUCUCCGCAAUUAGAAGCAAAAAGGUUGGGAUUCGCAA